rnacentral:rRNA from 1 species
GGCGAACGGGUGAGUAACAUAUCGGAACGUACCGAGCAGUGGGGGAUAACUAAUCGAAAGAUUAGCUAAUACCGCAUGAGAUCUACGGAAGAAAGCAGGGGACCAUUUGGCCUUGCGCUGUUUGAGCGGCCGAUAUCUGAUUAGCUAGUUGGUGGGGUAAAGGCCUACCAAGGCGACGAUCAGUAGCGGGUCUGAGAGGAUGAUCCGCCACACUGGGACUGAGACACGGCCCAGACUCCUACGGGAGGCAGCAGUGGGGAAUUUUGGACAAUGGGCGCAAGCCUGAUCCAGCC